rnacentral:rRNA from 1 species
UAGGGAAUCUUCCGCAAUGGACGCAAGUCUGACGGAGCAACGCCGCGUGAGUGAAGAAGGAUUUCGGUUCGUAAAACUCUGUUGUUAGAGAAGAACAGUGCAUAGAGUAACUGUUAUGCGUGUGACGGUAUCUAACCAGAAAGGCACGGCUAACUACGUGCCAGCAGCCGCGGUAAUACGUAGGUGGCAAGCGUUGUCCGGAUUUAUUGGGCGUAAAGCGAGCGCAGGCGGUCAAUUAAGUCUGAUGUGAAAGCCCCCGGCUCAACCGGGGAGGGUCAUUGGAAACUGGUUGACUUGAGUGCAGAAGGGGAGAGUGGAAUUCCAUGGGUAGCGGUGAAAUGCGGAGAUAUAUGGAGGAACACCGGUGGCGAAAGCGGCUCUUUGGUCUGUAACUGACACUGAGGCUCGAAAGCGUGGGGAGCGAACAGG